AUUCACAGGUCGAGUGAAGCGGUCCUUUGACAUAGGUUUUGCAGGACUCAUGCUUACCACACUGGGAUCAUGGAUCUACUGUAGAAUUACCAAUGCCCAGCUUCGUAUGCAGCAAAGGUUGAUCCAGGAUGGCAUCAAGAACAAGGUCAUGUAUGAAGGCACGAGUUUGGACACCGUCAGUAAACCAAAAGAGCAGGAGCCUUGCCCUUCAUGUCCUUGAAAUGAUUACGUGAUCCUGUCGUCAAAUCAUUGAUUCUUUCACACACCCUUGACUGCAGUUCACAAUGUCCACAGCCUUUAAAUGUUCUUCUAUUUUUCUGUCUUAUUGGAUCAUGUUGUCAGGCAUGGUUUGUCUGACAGAUGUUAUUUUUAUGUAAAAUAUUCUGUAACAAGUGUUGUUUUUGUGCUCAAUGGUGGAUCUAUUCAUAAUUAUUUAAGAGAUGAUUGGUUGUGCGCUGAAUAAAUAUUGAUUGACUUUC